ACCGAUUUGGUUAUUGUAGAUCUGUUUAUUAUUGUUUUGUUGUACAGCCAUUUUAACCUGCUGUCAUACCUCCCGUCCAGAAGGUGUCGUAAGAGUUCUAUUGUUGAUUGCUACACGAGUAAGCCUGUAACACGUUCUUGGUGCUGCUGGAGUAAAACUAUUUUCAAGCA